rnacentral:tRNA from 1 species
GCCCGUUGGUCAAGCGGUUAAGACAGAGGCCUGACUGUUAAUCAGGGUGUCGCCUGUUCGAGUCAGGCAAGAGGCGCCA